rnacentral:rRNA from 1 species
UACGUAGGGUGCAAGCGUUGUCCGGAAUUAUUGGGCGUAAAGAGCUCGUAGGCGGUUUGUCGCGUCGAAUGUGAAAACCCGGGGCUCAACCCCGGGCCUGCAGUCGAUACGGGCGGGCUAGAGUUCGGUAGGGGAGACUGGAAUUCCUGGUGUAGCGGUGAAAUGCGCAGAUAUCAGGAGGAACACCGGUGGCGAAGGCGGGUCUCUGGGCCGAUACUGACGCUGAGGAGCGAAAGCGUGGGGAGCGAACAGG